GCACGACACAAUUAUUUGGCAGGAUUUGAGUUAUUUUAAAAGCCAAAUAAAUACACUCUAUAGGUCUCAUAUAAAAAUAUGAACUUGCUGGUCUGGAAUAAAAGAGAAAUGAAAGGAAAAACGCAAUUACAAUAAAUACAUAUCAGUGACAAGUCAGAUUGUUCACCAAUCUAUAUCCAAUUCCCUAGAUAGGAAGAGUUUGUCAAUGUAGAGAAUGACUGGUGCAGAUGCAGCAAUAUAAUACUCCAUUUGAAUCCUGGCUGAGGUCUCAUCUUCAUU
rnacentral:misc_RNA from 1 species